AGCAUUCGUCCCCCAGGCAGAAAGGACUCGCCUAGGGAGCCAGCGCGGUCCCAAAGGAGCCGCCGGCCCUGCCUCCCGGGAUCCGACCCCCGGUGCAGCCAGCCUGAAGUCGCCCGAGGGCAGGGCCGACCUCACCGAGCCGGGAAUGGCGUCUCAGGGGCAAGUGAGAACUGGCCUGAGAAGGGGACGGUAGGGGCAGAAGACGCCAGGCUGCCUCUUGGACCAGCAGCGCCGGCCCAGAGCCACACGACUCUCUGUGGCACUGGCGACAAAGCGGGGAAAGUUUCUGGCUAAGACUUUCACGGAGAGGCAGUUCGCUGGCGUUUAGUGUGGGGGCUCCCCGGGGAAGCCGGUCUUUGGAAAGUGGAGGGUGGAGGUGUGGCGUUCUCGGGGUCCCCGCCGAGUCGUGCCACCACCCCGUCCCGCUCCCCGAGCACUGCCAGCAGCCCCAGGCGAGCCGGGGCUCUCCGUGGGGCAGGGCACGCUUCUGCCCCCACUCCACUCCACAGUGAGAGCCCACGUCCGUGGGUGCAACGAGCUGCAGGAGCACCGGACACACGGCCAAGAUGUGUUUUUGGGAGGGCAGAGCGGUUUUCAUUGCGGCAUUCUUCGUUUCCUUUCAUCCUGGAGAGAGGAGAGGGCGGGCGCCUUCCCACGCCCUGGGCGCACAGGCAGAUCACUUACCUCCCCGCAUGGCCGCGCCGGGAGGUUUGCCCCGCGCGGAGCUCGGCGGCCGCCACGCGCAAAGCCCCGGUGCAGCCGGCCGGACGCGCGCGGCACGCCGGGAGUUGUAGUCCAGCGCCGGUCGGCGGGGGUCGGAGGGGCGGGGGCCCCCAGGAAUGGGGAAGGCCAGUACUAGAAGGGACAAGAUCUGGGCAGGACAAGGGAGGAUAUUUGCAAAAACUUAAAACUUCCAGGAAGAUGGGGGGAGGGGAACCCUCCUAGAGAGAUUUUUAAAGUGAGGUUUUUUUAGGUUAAUGCCAUUUUCUUCCUGUCUUACUCGCUUAUGACAACCCCAAUGAAGUUUUAAGCUGGACUCUGGCAGUAAUGUUAAGUAGAGAUUUUCUCGGCCAACUUCAUAUUAUUUAGGGUUCUAUUCUUCCUUCACCUUGAACACAGAUGUGCCAUUCUCUGCUUGGAUGCACACAGAAUAUUCUUGCUCACAGAAUAACUCAGUUGAAGCCCUGAGCAUGUAAAAGGAGGGUGAGUAGUUAGUUGCACCUUACACAUGCAGGGUGCUUUAUAGCUCUCUUUACAAAGCACUUUGUACUUGAUUGAUUCAUUAUAUAAGAACCGUAAAGCAACUCUGAGAGUUAGUCAGAGAAAAGCUAAAGAUGCAGGGAGUUUUUUGUUUGUUUGUUUGUUUGUUUGUUUUUUGAGACGGGGUCUUGCUCUGUCGCCCAGGCUGGAGUGCAGUAGCGCGAUCUCGGCUCAAUGCAGGGAUUUUUGUGUAUCUGCAUCUGCAGAGGUUGUUGGAGCCAUCCUGUCUAUUCGUUUCUUUCUCCAGCCUCUCUUAGCAGCUGGGAAGAGAGAGUGGAGAGAAAGAGGGAUCAGGACAGAUGUGGACACGGCAGAAGAAGAGGAGCCUGCUGUGACGGACUUCCUUGAAAUGACAAACAAGUAAAUAUUUAAGGGAAUAAGUAAAACCAAAAGAAGGACUCAUGGGUUGGAAGAAUGGAAGGAGAAGGAAAAGGCAGAUGGGAUAGGGAUAGACAUUGAAGAUUGCAAACAGGCUAGUAGCAAAGAAAGCAAAAACAAACAGGGUUUUUAGAAGCCAGAUAAACCUUGGAUUCCUGGUGUUGUCACUUCUGAGCUAUCUCUGUUACCUUAGGUAAGUUCUUUAACCUCCCCAAACCUCUUUUGCCUCAUCUGUAAAAUUAAAAAAAAAAAAGUUCUGACUUUAUCAUGUGGCUGUGCCUAUUAAAAAGAGACAGGAAGCACAUAGUAUAGUGCUGGGCAUAUGCUAGGCAAUUAAUGUUAUUUACUAUUAUUAUCUGCAGAAAUUCUCUUUGUGUUAGUAUCAAAAAAUAAAUUGGAGUGGAAGUACCAGUUAGGAGGCUGUGACAAUACUCUAAGCUACUGGCAAUGAUAGCUUGAACUACAUUGACAGAAAGGCAACUAUGUUGCCAUAUGAGAUAGGGAAAACAGAGUACAAUCAAUUGGAUGUGGGGAAGGAAGAAAAAGAAUCAAAUUGGUUGUUAUUUCUAGAUUAAGUAGAUGAUGUUGUCAUUUUCAUAAAUAGAUACAACUGAUGGAAAAACAGGUUUUGGAGGAAGAUGACCACUGGCUUUCCUCAUUUUAUUGUGCUUUGCUUUAUUGCAGUUCACAGACAAUGUGUUUUUGUUGUUGUUGUUGUUGUUUAUUUUACAAAUUGACAGUUUUUGGUAACCCUGUGUUGAACAAGUCUAUUAGUGCAAUUUUUCCAGCAGUAUGUGCUCACUUCAUGUCUCUGUGUCACAUUUUGGGCAUUCUCAUAAUAUUUGAAAGUUUUUCAUUUUUAUUGUAUCUGUUGUGGUGAUCUGUGAUCACUGAUCUUUGAUGUUACGAUUGUAAUUGUUUUAGGGUGCCACAGACCAUGCCCAUUAAUCUAUAAAUGUUGUGUGUGUUCUGACUGCUCCACUUACCAGCUGUUCCCCUCCUCUCUCCCUCUCCUGCUCCUCCCUAUUCCCUGAGACACAACAAUAUUGAAAUUCGGCCAAUUAAUAUCCUUACCAUGGCCUCUAAGUGUUCAAGUGAAAGGAAGAGUCAUACUUCUCUCACUUCAAAUCAAAAGCUAGAAAUGAUAAACUUAGUGAGGAAGGCAUGUCAGAAAUCCAGAUAAGCAAAAGUUAGACGUCCGGUGCCAAACAGUUAGCCAAAUUGUGAAUGCAAACAAAAAGUUCUUGAAGGAAAUUAAAAAUGCUGUUCUAACGCAUACCUGAAUGAUAAGAAAGUGAAACAGUCUUAUUCCUGAUAUGGAGAAAGUUUUAGCGGUCUGCAUAGAGGAUCAAACCAGCCCCAACAUUCCUUUAAGCCAAAGCCUAAUCCAGAGCAAGGCCCUAACUCAAGGGUGGAGAGGUAAGGAAACUGUAGAAAAGUUUGAAGCUAGCAGAGUUUGAUUUCUUAAACGAGGUUUAAGAAAAGAAGCAUAACAAUGAAGUACAAGGUGAAGAAGCAAGUGCUGAUGGAGAAGCUGUAACACGUUAUCCGGAAGAUCUAGCAAAGGUAGAUGGAGGUGGCUACAAUAAUCAGCAGUUUAUCAAUGUAGACUUAAUAGCCUUCUAUUGGAAGAAGAUGCCAUGUAAGAUUUUUCUAGCCAGAGAAAAGUCAAAGCCUAACUUCAAAGCUUCAAAGGACAGGCUUAUUAGGGGCUAAUGCACCCAGUGAUCUUAAGUUGAAGCCAAUUUUCAUUUACCAUUAUGAAAAUUCUAGGGCCCUCAAGAAUUAUGCUAAAUUGACUUUACUUGUGCUUUAUAGAUGAGACAAAAAGGCCUGGGUGACAGCAUAUCUGUUUACAACAUGAUUUUCUGAAAAUUUUAAGCCUACUGUUGAGAACUACUACUCACAAAAAAAGAUUCCUUUCAAAAUAUUAGUGCUCAUUGACAAUACACCUGUUCAGCCAAGAACUCUGAUGGAGAUGUACAAGAAGAUGAAUGUUGUUUUCAUGCCAGCUAGUAAAACAUCCAUUCUGUAGCCCAUGGAUCAAGCAGCAAAUCUGACUCUCAAUUCUUAUUAUUUAAGAAAUCCUUUUUAUAAGUCUAUAGCAUCCAUAGAUAAUGAUUCCUCUGAUGGAGCUGGGCAUCAUAAUUGAAAGCCUUCUGGAAAGGAUUCAUCAUCUUAUAUGCCAUUAAGAACGUUCAUAAUUCAUGAGAGGAGGUCAAAAUAUAACAUUAACAUGAGUUUGGAAGAAGCUGAUUCCAAGCCUCAUGGAUAACUUUGAGGGGUUCAAGACUUCAGUGGAUGAAGUCCCUGCAGAUGUGAUAGAAAUAGCAAGAGAAAUAGAAUUGGAAGUGGUGCAUGAAGAUAUGACUGAAUUGCUGCAAUCUCAUGAUCAAACUUGAAUGGAUGAGGAGGUGCUUCUUAUGAUUGAGCAAAUAAAGUGGUUUCUUGAGAUGGAAACUAUUCCUGGUGAAUAUGCUAUGAACAUUGUUCAAGUGACAACAGAGAAUUUAGAAUAUUUCAUAAACAUAGCUGAUAAAGCAGCAUCAGGGUUUUAGAGGAUUGACUGCAAUUCUGAAAGAAGUUUUACUGUGGUUAAAAUGCUGUUCAGUAGCAUCACAUGCUACAGGGAAAUCUUUCAUUAAGGGAAGAGUCAAUUGAUGUGGCAAACUUUACUGUUAUCUUAAGAAAUUGCCACAGCCACGCCAACCAUCAGCAACCGACUACCCUAAUGAGUUACCAGCCAUCAACAUUGAAGCAAGACCCUCCACCAGCAAACAGAUUACAACUUGCUAAAGGCUUUAAGAUCGUUAGCAUUUUUUAAGCAAUAAAGUAUUUUUAAAUUAAGAUAUGCACUUUUUAAAAGAUAUAAUGCCAUUGCAUACUGAAUAUACUACAAUAUAGUGUAAACAUUUAUAUGCACUGGGAAACAAAAAAAUGUGUGUGACUUGCUUUAUUGCAGUGGUCUAGAACUGAGCCCACAAUGUUCCCGAGGGGCCUGCAGUUUGAUUUUGGACAUGCAUAACUUAAGGGUUUAUCUGUGUGAAUGACCAAGUGGAAGUUGGAAAUGUGGAUUUGGAUUUUUCAUGUAGAAAUGGGACUUUGAGAGUCAAUUACUUAGGAGAGGAAGUUGAAGAGCAUGUGAAGAGGAAAAAGGGAGGACAGCAGGCAUGGGCAUGGGGAGGUGGGAAGUCAGAUAAUAAUACCAGGCAGGAAUUGGUUAAGGAGGAAAGGAAAGCUGCAGGGGUGUAGUAACAUGGGGUGCAAGGGAGGAUGGAGAGAUGAGGAGCAGCUUCUUAACAGGUCAUAUGCUCUAGAGAGGUAGCCAAUGACAACAGAAAAGAGGCCUCUGGAUUUAUAGAUCAAGAAACUAUUGGGAUUGAACUGCUUCCAGGGUUUUUUUUUUGAAAUUUACCAGAGUGAUUUUGCUUGUCCCAGUGAUUGGGGAGUGUAUUAGUGCGUUUUCACACUGCUAUAAAGAAAUACCCAAGACUGAGUAAUUUAUAAAAAGGUUUAAUCGACUCACAGUUCCACAUGGCUGGGGAGGCCUCAGGAAACUUACAAUCAUGGAGGUAGGGGAAGCAGGCACUCUCUUCACAACAUGGCAGGAAAGAGAGAAGUGCUGUGAAGGAGGAACUUCCAAAGUUAUAAAACCAUAAGAUCUCAUGAGAACUCACUCACUAUCAUGAGAAGAGCCUGGGGGAAACUGCCUGCAUGAUCCAAUCACCUGCCUCCCUUGACACAUGGAGAUUACAAUUUGAGAUGAGAUUUGGUUGGAGACACAGAGCCAAACCAUAUGAGGGAGUGGGGCACUACUGGAAUAUAGUUGGUGGGGUCAAAGAUUCUAGACAUCUUCCAUUGACCAGGACAGUCGCGCAGAGCGAAGAAUUGUCCUGCAUCCUGUGUGACUUAGUUGUCCCACUGCUCAGCUCAUUUAUGUAGGUGAAAAAUCUGUUUAUAAUUAUCUGAGCCUAGAAUCUAUUUUAUAUAUAAACAUAAAUUGUUUUCCACACAGUUUUAAGUUAUAUCAAAUUUUCCUGGAAUGUUGUAAAUUGGAUGGCAAUAUCAUUUAUGGAAUUUGAAUCACCAAUACAGUUCAUUUUGUGGCUGUCUCUUUCAUGGUGAUUCUGCAUAUGGAACAAGUAUCUGACUACUUUAUUGUGUCUUUUAGCUUAGGGAUGCUUGAGCAGUUGCAUGUUGGAUCAUGCAGUUUUAUUAUUAUUAUUAUUAUUUUUUUUUUUUUUGAGACGAAGUCUCACUCUUGUCAUCCAGGCUGGAGUGCAAUAACGCUAUCUCAGCUCACUGCAACCUCUGCCUCCUGAGUUCAGCAGUUCUCCUGCCUCAGCCUCCCGAGUAGCUGGGAUUAUGGGUGCCUGCCACCACGCCCACCUAAUUUUUGUAUUUUGAGUAGAGACGGGGUUUCACCAUGUUGGCCAGGCUGGUCUUGAACUCCUGACCUCAGGCAAAUCACCUGCCUUGGCCUCCCAAAGUGCUGGGAUUACAGGUGUGAGCCACCGCGCCUGGUGGAUCAUGCAAUAUUUUAUGGUAAAUUACUUUAUUUUGUACUUUAUAUUAUAGUUAAGGUAUUGCUUUAAUUUUAGAAAAUUACAUAGGUAGGUAGCUUAUGGCUUCUACUUCACAAUGGUAAAAAGCAUAUUGUUUCAUAUUUGUUAUGAAAAGGGAUCAUUAAGAUUGACAAGAUGGAGAGCUAUUUAUUCCUUCAGUCAAUAAACAUCUCUGGAGUCCCUACUCAUUCUGGGUACUUGAGAUACAUCAAUAUAUGAAACAGAAAAAGUUUAUUGCCCUUUUGGAGUUAAUAUUGUAAUGUGGGAGAGGCAGAUGAUAAAUAAUAAACAUAAACAAAAUAAGUAAAUUCUCUAUUAGAAAGUUAUAAAUGCUGUGAAAAAUAAAAGGAGGAUAAAGGCAGUUGGGAGUGCAGGAGAGGGUGUGGGUUGAAAUGUUAAAUAUAAUGAUCAGGGUAAACUUCAUUGAGAAGGUGAUAAUCAAGGAAAGAUCUGGAGUUGGUAAGAGAAUGGCCUUGUGGAUUUCUGAGAAAAGAAAUAGCAAGGAUGCCAGUGUGGUUGGAUAUGGGCAGGGGUCAAGUAGAAGGAGGACAGGAAAACCCCGGGGCUGGAAACAAAUAAUGUAGGGCUUGUGGGCAUUGCAAGAAAUUUCAGCUUUCACUCUGAAUGAAAUGGGCAGCUGUUGGAGAGUUCAGAGCGGAAGAGUGACAUGGUCAGGCAUAGGUUUAAAGGAUUAUUCUGGCUGCUCUAUCAAGGAUAAAUCUUAACAGGCAAUGGUGGAAGCAGACUAGGCAAGAUGCUAUUGUAGUAAUCCAGGCAAGAAAUAUUAGUGGCUUGAACUAGAGUGGUAGCAACGAAAAGUGAUGGUGUGGAUGUGGAAAAGAAAUCAAGAAUUCUAUAGGGCAUAUUGGAAGAGUUUCAGGGGUUUGGGAGGGACGGAAGAUGGAGAUACAUUAAAGUAUGUUCAGGGCCUUAUAGGAAUGGGACUUGGGGGAUGACCUAGUAGUCUAGGACUUCUUGUGGUGACUCACAUAAACAGGGAUAAAGGGUAUAAUGAAAUCAGUCCCAGAGAAGGCAAGAAAUAAAAUGGUGAAGAGGUUGUGAGUGUGGGGGGUAUUGAUGAAUGUUUGAGUUCCCUGACUCUGGAUGGAGCUGAGAAUCAGGUGGACUCUUGAUCCACGUUGAUGGAAUGUUGAAGGCCUGGGGAGAGGAGGACUCAGUUCCUAGGCCAACGCUUAUUCAUCACUCCUGUCAGGAGCAGGCUGACUUGUUCAGAGUGAGUAGUCCUCUCUACCUCUGCUCUUGACCUUUUUGAUGGACUUAGCCCUUUUGAUGCAGUUGAGGAUUGGGGCAAGCUGGUAAUUACUCUAAGCACAAAGGCCCAGAAACAAUGAUGAUUCAAUAAAGUAUAUUCUAGAACACAGACUGAGGUAGACUUAAAAUUCUGGAAAUGGAGAAAUUUUGAGAAAUUUGGCAAAUGGGGAAUUUUGGCAAAGAAGGGCAGGAGAAGGUUUGGUCCUUAAUGUGGAAGGAUGCUCUAAGAUUGGGGAUAGCAGACAACUGUGUUUGUACAGUGAAGUGAAGAAGCCACUAGAUGCAGAAAUGUGAAAAUUCAGAACAGAGGGUGUAACUGAUGUAAUAUUUUCCUAGAGAAGAAGGAACUAUUGAUUGUUGAUCUUUGGAAGAAAAGUGGCAUAGUUUCUUCCUAUAAGAAAAGAAAGAGGCCAGGCGCAGUGGCUCAUGCCUGUAAUCCCAGCACUUUAGGAGACUGAGGCAGGCAGAUCACUUGAGGCCAGGAGUUCGAGAACAGCCUGGCCAAUGUGGUGAAACCCUGUCUCUACUAAAAUACAAAAAUUAGCCGGGCGUGGUGGCAGGCACCUGUAAUCCCAGCUACUCAGGAGGCUGAGGCAGGAGAAUUACUUGAACCCAGGAGGUAGAGGUUACAGUGAGCUGGGAUCAUGCCAUUGCACUCCAGCCUGGGCGACAGAGCGAGACUCCAACUCAAAAAAAUAAAAAAAGAAAAGAAAGAAAGCAAAUGGAAUGAUUUAGUAAUAUUGAGGGAAAUUCUAAAGAGAAAAGGGGGUAUAACAUUAUUUAAAGAUUAUUUUUAUUUAUUGUGAAAAUACACUGUAUGAUAAAAAAAAUUAAAGCAAUCAGAAACUUAAAAUAGAAAGUGAAAAUUCCCAAUAAACCCAUUCCUAAAAUAAUCCCUGUUAAAUGAUAUAUAUUGUCUAAAUUUUUAUCCUGUGCUUGUGACUUCUUUUUGUAAAUGUUACAUGAGGUAUUAAUCCAUUCUUUCAUUGCUGUAAAGAAAUACCUGAGACUGAGUAAUUUAUAAAGGAAAGAGGUUUAAUUGGCCCAUGGUUCUGCAGGCUUUUUGGAAGCAAAGCAUGAUGCUGGCAUCUGCUUGGCUUCUGGGGAUGCCUCUGGAAGUAAAAUCACAGCAGAAGGCGAAGGAGCAGCAGGCACCUCACAUCGCCAGAGCAGAAGCAAGAGAGAGUGGGUGCCACACUUUUAAACAGCUAGAUCUCACCAGGACUCAUUCACUAUUGUGAGGACAGUACCAAGGGGAUGAUGUAAAACUAUUAAAGAGAAAUCCACUCCCAUGAUUCAAUCACCUAUCACCAGGCCCCACUUCCAACAUUGAGGAUUAUAAUUCAACAUGAGAUUUGGGCAGGGAAACACAUCCAAACCAUAUCGUGUGAGUACCUAAAAUAUGAGUAUUUUUUCUUUGCAGGCUCUCAGGUUAAAUAAUAAAUAAAAAUUUGUUGAGCUUCUAUUACAUAACAGAUAUUAUUGCAUCAAUCUUUUCGAUAAUUGUUAUUCACAUCUUCCAUAUAAUAUCUAAUUUUUCUUGAUUAUUCAAGAAUAAAAAGAAAUUUGUUAAAGCCUCCUAACAUUUAUCUUGUUGUUUUCUUAUUUCUUGAAGUUUUGCUUUAUGUAUUUUAAUGCUGUUAUUUGAUACAUAAGCAUUUAUACUAAUAAUUUAUUUAUUGUGAGCUGUGUCAUUUGCCAUUACAAAGUGACUUUCUUUGUUCCAUGUAUUAAAAAGCUUUGUUCCAAGCUUUUUAAUAGCUUAUUCUAUCCCACUUGAAAUUAUUUGAAUUAGAUAUGUUUAACCU
rnacentral:lncRNA from 1 species